CUACUUACGAGAAAUUGAAUACAAUUAGAUCGUUGCUCGCUGAAUUCCGUUAUGGAUAUCCGAUCUCGCUAAAAUCGUGUUUGACUGUUAAUGUCAAACUGCCAAAUUAAAAACGAGUUUUAUAAUCAAACUAUGAAUUAACAUAACUGAAUAAAAGCAAAAAAUAUGCCAUUUUACCAUUUGUUGUAACCGAGUAUUGCGAUGCAAAAGGUACGCUUUAUAUGUGGGUAUUUGGUAUCGACAAUGUUAAAUGUGUUAAAUCGAGAAUGGUAUUAAGUAUACGAUGAAUUUAUAGUACAAUGUAAUGUAGCUAUUAUGCCGACGGAUUAAAUGUAUAAACACGGUUUUUUUGUUCUCUUUACAAAACGUAAAGAACCGGGCCGCCCGUAUCUCCCGCCUAUCUCAUCUCCGUCGUUCCAAUGCUGACUGUCGCUGACGAUUCGUGCAUCGUUCUUCGUGCAGUGUCCAGUGGUGUCCAGACGCGAGUAGGGAGUAGUACAAUCGAUUUCAACAUAACUUUGUCGAAACGAAACGUACCGAACCUUAUUAUACGUUGUAGGUGAAAAGUAACGAAUGUUGGUUGAUUCCAUGGAUCCCGUUUGCAGAGAGAGGAGAAGGAUGAGCAAGCGAAGACGUCUGCAGAGGUUAUCGAAUGUGUCAAUAAAGGGAGAAGAGAAGAAUAAGUGCUCGAAGAUGUUUGCGGAGGUUAUAUGAUGGGAAAUGUGAAUCGAGGUUAGCUUAUGGCUCCUUGGAGUGGAGUCUUUUUUUUUUGCUUUUUUUGUGCUCAAGAUUGUGCCUCGAAGCUUAUACGAGAGAAGAAACCUCUAUAGGAGUGCCUUUUGCUAGUACGAUCGCAAAACUCGUCUUGGACAACAAGUGGGUGUUUGCACCGAUCUUGAUUGUUUGUUGACGAGUGCAGUUGUUGGUACGUAGUGUCAGUGAGAUACAGAGUGCGUGUGUGAAUCAGAGUGUGGAACAUGAUACAUUG